CCUACGGGGGGCAGCAGUGAGGAAUAUUGGUCAAUGGCCGGAAGGCUGAACCAGCCAUGCCGCGUGAAGGUCAGUGCCCUAUGGGCGUUAAACUUCUUUUGUGCGGGAGCAAUAAUGGUCACGUGUGGCCAGACGAGAGUACCGUACGAAUAAGCAUCGGCUAACUCCGUGCCAGCAGCCGCGGUAAAACGGGGGAUGCAAGCGUUAUCCGGAUUUAUUGGGUUUAAAGGGUGCGUAGGCUGUGAGGUAAGUCAGCGGUGAAAUGCCCCCGCGCAACGGGGUGAAGUGCCAUUGAUACUGCCUGGCUGGAGUGCGGAUGCGGUGGGAGGAAUGUGUGGUGUAGCGGUGAAAUGCAUAGAUAUCACACAGAACACCGAUUGCGAAGGCAUCUCACGAAUCCGCGAUUGACGCUGAUGCACGAAAGCGUGGGUAUCAAACAGGAUUAGAUACCCCAGUAGUC
rnacentral:rRNA from 1 species